UCCCUGGCAGUCCAGUGGUUAAGACUGCACUUCAAAUGCAGAGGGUAUGGGUUCGAUCCCUGGUCAGGGAA
rnacentral:tRNA from 1 species